AUUGAACGCUGGCGGCAUGCCUUACACAUGCAAGUCGAACGGCAGCACGGGUGCUUGCACCUGGUGGCGAGUGGCGAACGGGUGAGUAAUACAUCGGAACGUACCUUAUCGUGGGGGAUAACGCAGCGAAAGCUGUGCUAAUACCGCAUACGCCCUGAGGGGGAAAGCGGGGGAUCGCAAGACCUCGCGCGAUUAGAGCGGCCGAUGCCUGAUUAGCUAGUUGGUGGGGUAAAAGCCCACCAAGGCGACGAUCAGUAGCUGGUCUGAGAGGACGAUCAGCCACACUGGGAGUGAGACACGGCCCAGACUCCUACGGGAGGCAGCAGUGGGGAAUUUUGGACAAUGGGGGCAACCCUGAUCCAGCAAUGCCGCGUGAGUGAGGAAGGCCUUCGGGUUGUAAAGCUCUUUUGUCAGGGAAGAAACACCGGCUCUAACACAGUCCGGGAAUGACGGUACCUGAAGAAUAAGCACCGGUUAACUACGUGCCAGCCGCCGCCGUAA
rnacentral:rRNA from 1 species